rnacentral:rRNA from 1 species
AUUGAACGCUGGCGGCAUGCCUUACACAUGCAAGUCGAACGGCAGCACGGGUGCUUGCACCUGGUGGCGAGUGGCGAACGGGUGAGUAAUGCAUCGGAACGUGCCCAGUCGUGGGGGAUAACGCAGCGAAAGUUGUGCUAAUACCGCAUACGUCCUGAGGGAGAAAGCAGGGGAUCUUCGGACCUCGCGCGAUUGGAGCGGCCGAUGUCGGAUUAGCUAGUUGGUGGGGUAAAAGCCCACCAAGGCGACGAUCCGUAGCGGGUCUGAGAGGAUGAUCCGCCACACUGGGACUGAGACACGGCCCAGACUCCUACGGGAGGCAGCAGUGGGGAAUUUUGGACAAUGGGGGCAACCCUGAUCCAGCCAUGCCGCGUGAGUGAAGAAGGCCU